rnacentral:rRNA from 1 species
UACGUAGGGUGCAAGCGUUAUCCGGAAUGAUUGGGCGUAAAGCGUCCGCAGGUGGCUGUGUAAGUCUGCUGUUAAAGAGUGAGGCUCAACCUCAUAAAGGCAGUGGAAACUACAUGGCUAGAGUGCGUUCGGGGCAGAGGGAAUUCCUGGUGUAGCGGUGAAAUGCGUAGAGAUCAGGAAGAACACCGGUGGCGAAGGCAGCUCUCUGGGACGGUACUGACGCUGAGACGCGAAAGCGUGGGGAGCGAACAGG